AUGGCGCACGUUGCACCCCCACAAGGAGAGCCCUGGCUGCUAAAUGGAGAUUUCAACAUCAUAUAUGAAGCCCGCGACAAAAGCAAUCUCAACCUGAAUAGGAGGACCAUGGGCAUGUUCAGGUCAGCGAUCGACAGAGCAGGCUUAAAAGAGAUUAAAUGCAAGAAUAGAAGAUUCACCUGGACAAAUGAGCGGCAAAACCCAACGAUGGUCAGCAUCGACAAAGUGUUCUGCAACUCCGAAUGGGACGCCCUCUUCCCCUCGUUCAUACUGAUGGCCACGGCAACAGCUUGUUCAGACCACUGCCCUCUGCUUCUUGCAAACACUGCGGCACCUCGCAAAAGAGCUGCGUUCCGUUUUGAGUCGUUUUAG
rnacentral:rRNA from 1 species